CGGUAGCAGGAAGUGCUUGCACUUUGCUGACGAGUGGCGGACGGGUGAGUAAUACUUAGGAACAUGCCUUUGUGUGGGGGAUAACCAUUGGAAACGAUGGCUAAUACCGCAUAAUGUCUUUGGACCAAAGAGGGCUUUCGGGCUCUCGCGCAAAGAGUGGCCUAAGUGAGAUUAGCUUGUUGGUGAGGUAAAGGCUCACCAAGGCGACGAUCUCUAGCUGUUCUGAGAGGAAGAUCAGCCACACUGGGACUGAGACACGGCCCAGACUCCUACGGGAGGCAGCAGUGGGGAAUAUUGCACAAUGGGGGCAACCCUGAUGCAGCCAUGCCGCGUGUGUGAAGAAGGCCUUCGGGUUGUAAAGCACUUUCAGUUGUGAGGAAAGGUUGGUGGUUAAUACCCAUCAGCUGUGACGUUAGCAACAGAAGAAGCACCGGCUAACUCCGUGCCAGCAGCCGCGGUAAUACGGAGGGUGCGAGCGUUAAUCGGAAUUACUGGGCGUAAAGCGCACGCAGGCGGUUAUAUAAGCUAGAUGUGAAAGCCCCGGGCUCAACCUGGGAAUAGCAUUUAGAACUGUGUGACUAGAGUCUUGGAGAGGGGAGUGGAAUUCCAGGUGUAGCG
rnacentral:rRNA from 1 species